rnacentral:misc_RNA from 1 species
CGCACCUUGCGCUUGCUGGUAUUCCGGCAAGCAUGCCUGUUUGAGUGUCAUGAACUCUUCAACCCUCCAAUUCCUUGUUUGAAUUGCGAGGUGUUUGGAUUUUGAAUGUCUUGCUGGCUGAAGUUCCCUUUAGUCUAGCUCAUUCGUAAUACAUUAGCAUCUCAAUUUCGAAUUUUGUAAUUCGGUUUGACUCGGCGUAAUAGACUUUUUAUAUUCGCUGAGGACACCAAUUCAGUUUGGUGGCCGAAUUUCGAAGUAGAAGCUUCCAAUACAAAAAGUCUACUUUUUUCCUAAGAUUAGACCUCAGAUCAGGCAGGACUACCCGCUGAACUUAA